GACGAACGCUGGCGGCGUGCUUAACACAUGCAAGUCGUACGGUAAGGCCCUUUCGGGGGUACACGAGUGGCGAACGGGUGAGUAACACGUGAGUAACCUGCCCACAACUUUGGGAUAACGCUAGGAAACUGGUGCUAAUACUGGAUAUGUUCUCCUGCUGCAUGGUGGGGGUUGGAAAGCUCCGGCGGUUGUGGAUGGACUGGCGGCCUAUCAGCUUGUUGGUGGGGUAGUGGCCUACCAAGGCGGCGACGGGUAGCCGGCCUGAGAGGGUGACCGGCCACAUUGGGACUGAGAUGCGGCCCAGACUCCUACGGGAGGCAGCAGUGGGGAAUAUUGCACAAUGGGCGCAAGCCUGAUGCAGCAACGCCGCGUGCGGGAUGACGGCCUUCGGGUUGUAAACCGCUUUCAGCAGGGACGAAGCUUUUUGUGACGGUACCUGCAGAAGAAGCACCGGCUAACUACGUG
rnacentral:rRNA from 1 species